CAAAAACCAAAGCAUUUAGAGCAAAUCUGACAUGGGGGAAAUUGUUUAUCAGGUCAAGAUCUAUCUGCCCUGAAAUUGUCAGAUGAAUCGGACAACCCGUUGUUGGGUUGCUGCCCCUGAAUUGGUAAUUUUGAGAAAAUUUUGAUGUUUUUGGUUAUUAUCUUGAAUAUUAUUAUAGAUAGAGAUAAACUGUAAACAGCAAAAAUGUUCAGCAAAG
rnacentral:lncRNA from 1 species